rfam:Oryza nivara chromosome 4, whole genome shotgun sequence.
GGGAUUGUAGUUCAAUUGAUCCGAGCACCGCCCUGUGAAGGCGGAAGCUGCAGGUUCAAGUCCCGUCAGUCCCU